GAAAGACUGUGCCAGGGAGGGGGAUGUGCUCCUCUGCCCUUCUAGCUUCUGGCUGGUCCGAGAGGGACGGAGUAACAGGAACAGCAGAUGAAGUUUAAUCACAUGUGACCAUGGGCGAGACCCAGGAAAAAAAACAACCAGCUUACGACACUGAAUGUGCCCAAGAGACAUCCUUCCGGGUGCCAGAUUCCGCUCCCCUACAGCUGUGAGGAGAGGAAGGACCAGAAGGAGGGCUGCACCCACCGGCCCUUCCCAGGCCAGGCGGUUUGAACAAAAACACCUCCAGGUGACCCAUAGGCCUGCCUGCUCUCCGGGAAAUAAAUUGGAGGCACCUUAGGGAAAGAACCAGACCACCAGAAAGACUGUAAACACAGCAACUUCACAGGCUCCAGGGCUAGGCUGCCGCUGGCUCUGGGGAGGUGACGCCUUCAUUUCUGACCCUGUCACUGAAGAGAAGUCCGGGUGCCAGAUGCGCAGUGAGGCCCAACGAACUGAAAGGUGGGAGUCUGGAGCAGAGAAAGGGUGAUCGCGUGGCCGAGAAGGGAAGGUGGGCGGCUCGAGCUUGGAAAAACCCGAACUCUGAUGGUCUGAGGGGCGAAGCUUCACAGGCAGAACCUGGGGUUUGGGCAGCAGGGCGUGUGCCUUUCUUCUGCUUGGCUGGUGUUACCUCAACAGGGUGGGGCUCCAGGAAUCUUGGGCUCAGCCUGGAGCCACGGUCCUCCCCCGGGUGGGGGCCUGGGUGGGGGCCUGCAGGAGUUCCUGCAGGAGAACUGGAAGUGUUUCCAGUAUGGCCCCUGAGGAGGAGGCAGAACCCUUCCCCAAGGCUGCUUCAUUGUUUCCCGGCCGUUUCUCCCUCAUUUCCACGUUUCUGAGUUCUCUCCCCCAGUUAGCAACUGUUUGGAUCUGCCCUUUGGAACUCAGGGAAGGUCAAGGAGGCUGAUUGAAGCCCAUGUCCUACAAAAGAGAAACGGGGCACAGAAAGGAAACAGCAGGCGCCUGAUGGACUUGCCAGGUGACCGGUGAGCAAAUGGGCAGAGCUGGACGUUCCUGUCUCCUAAUGACCUGAUACGAAAUUACAGCCUCUUAUCUACUGCGAUCUCUGGAUUCGGGCAGAAGUAAUUUCCAGGUCCCUCUCUGCUUAGCCCUGGGCACGUUCCCCCGCUGUCUGACUCUGCAGGACCCUAUCUGAAGAAAGGCUGAUGACCCCUGGAGGGCUGUUUCCAGAAUGAUGAAAUCCUGGAGGAGAGCAUUCGGCACAGCGCUGGACUUUGGCAGGGGUGUGGGAUGUUUCAAAAAGGCAGUGUUGUUUUAUCAAGUCACAGGACAGGACACCUUCAUGGUUGCCGUGUUAGUGCAGGCACGGGGGCGCUGUGACGGCGUGAAGUACACUUGAGCUACUGCAGUGCAUCACAGAUGCUUAGAAUGUGGUUUAUUCAAGUAACAGAAUAGCACCCAAAGUGGCCACAGACUCUGCUCACCUUUACAAACCCCGAGAGUAACUUUUACCGUGAGACCGUGAACAACCCAGGAGGCCUGGAAUCAGAGGCUCCAGUCUGUGAGAACUUUGGACAAGUCAGUGACUCUGUGGGUGGUGGUUUCCUGGUCGGGGAAGACAGUUUGCUGAGCUGAAGAAGAAAAAGGCUUUUGUCUGCGAAUCAGUUAAGAUGCUUUCUUCUGCGAGCGACUCUGCUUCUGGUCACCCCCAUCCUGCCCUCAGUGUCCUCUCUCGUCUUUUGUUGAGGAUCAGAUUUAAGGCUUUGGCCAUUUUGGUGAGUUACUCAAGUUUUUCUGGGUGUCCCCCAAGUACACAUGUUAUUAAACUUUCGUGUGAUUUUCUCCUGUUAACCUGUCUCAUGACAAUUUAAUUCUCAGGCCAGCGGAAGCACCUAGAAGGGCAGAGGGAAAUGUCUUCCUUUCUGACACAGGGAGAUUUAUUCCAGGAGUCAGGGGUGGUUAAACAUUAGGAAAGCUAUGAUGAACUUAAGUGAAUAUCCUAAAAGGGUAAUUUUAAAGAUACUAAAAAAAUAAAUCUGACAAAAGUCCACUUUAAUACAUGAUUAAAAAAAAAUCUCUUAGCAAGUGAGGGUCCACGUAUGAACAUAAUAAUGACUUUCCCAAAACUCUUCAUAAAGUCCAUCAGUGACUCAUGGAGGGGGAUCAGAAGCUGGUCGAAGUAGGGGUCUGGGUGAACCGGGAGACACCGGGUUUUAACGCGUGAGCAAACCCGCAGAUGCGGCGCGUGUCAGUCAAAUUCCAGCACCUCCGGGGGAGGGCACAGCUCGCGGGCAGAGCGCGUGCUUAGCGUGCACGGGGUCCUGGGUUCCUCCCUCAGUACCUCCAGGAAAAAAUAAAAAUUAAAAAAAUAAAAAUAAAAUCACAGACCUCCCCCCAAAAUAAAGUGGGGGAAAGAAGCCCGGCGCUCGGGUCGCGCAGGCGCGCCC